GAUGAACGCUGGCGGCGUGCCUAAUACAUGCAAGUCGAGCGAACAGACGAGGAGCUUGCUCCUCUGACGUUAGCGGCGGACGGGUGAGUAACACGUGGAUAACCUACCUAUAAGACUGGGAUAACUUCGGGAAACCGGGGCUAAUACCGGAUAAUAUAUUGAACCGCAUGGUUCAAUAGUGAAAGACGGUUUUGCUGUCACUUAUAGAUGGAUCCGCGCCGCAUUAGCUAGUUGGUAAGGUAACGGCUUACCAAGGCAACGAUGCGUAGCCGACCUGAGAGGGUGAUCGGCCAACCUGAACUGGAGACCCGGUCCAGCCCCCUACGGGAGGAAGCAGUAGGAAAUCUUCCGCAAUGGGCGAAAGCUUGACGGAGCACCGCCGCGUGAGUGAUGAAGGUCUUCGGAUCGUAAAACCCUGUUAUUAGGGAAGAAAAAAUGUGUAAGUACCUAUGAACGUCUUGACGGUCCCUAAUCAGAAAGCCCCGGCUAACUACGU
rnacentral:rRNA from 1 species